rnacentral:rRNA from 1 species
CCCAUCCUACACUCUUUCCCUACACGACGCUCUUCCGAUCUUGCCAAUCGAAAGCGGAGAUAGCUGGUUCUCCCCGAAAUGCAUUGAGGUGCAGCCCAGGGGAAGUGAUAACCGAGGUAGAGCACUGUUGUUGUGCGGGGGCUUCACCGCCUACCAAGCGACGGCAAACUGCGAAUGCGGUUAUGACGUACCUGGAGUGAGACAGUCGGCGCAAACGUUGAUUGUCGAGAGGGAAACAACCCAGAUCCGCUGCUAAGGUCCCGAAAUUGACGCUAAGUGGGAAAGGAUGUGUCGUUGCGAAGACAGCCAGGAGGUUGGCUUAGAAGCAGCCACCCUUGAAAGAGUGCGUAACAGCUCACUGGUCGAGUGACGAUGCGCCGACAAUCCAACGGGGCAAAGCGUCGUACCGAAGCACGGAAUAGAGAAAUCUAUGGUAGGGGAGCGUCGUCUAUACGAAGAAGCAUCAGCGGAAGCCAGUGUGGAGCGUAGACGAGUGCGAAUGCCGGAACGAGUAACAGAGAAGGGGAGUGCAAACCUCCCCCGCCGAAAGUCUAAGGGUUCCGCCGCAAGGGUGAUCCGCGGCGGGUUAGUCGGGCCUAAGGGAAACACUAACGUGUGAACCGAUGGAGAACAGGUAGACAUUCCUGUACUACACACAACUGUUUGACCGACGAGGGACGCUGAGUGGUAGGUGGAGCGAUCAGACGAGGAUCGUUUAAGCGUGUAAGGAGACUGCGGGUUAAAAUACGUGGUUGUUGACUGAGGCGCGAAUACGAGUGGGGGAGCGAUCCCACCGCGAGUCCAUUAAGCCUGUGCAGACGAGAAAUGCCCUCUAGGGAGGAAAUGUGUAUCCGUACCGCAAACCGACACAGGUAGAUAGGCUGAGGAAGCUAAGGCGGACGAGUGAUCCCUGGUUAAGGAACUCGGCAAUUUGACCCCGUACCUUCGGUAGAAGGGGUGCUCUUGGAGGUGAAGGCCGUACGGCCGGAGCGUCCGAGAGUUGCAACAAAGAGGCCCAGGCGACUGGAUAACAGAACCACAGGUCCAUGCUCAAGCCGUAAGGCGAUGUAUAUGGGCUGAUGCCUGCCCAGUGCCGGAAGGUUAAAAGGAGAUGUGCAAGCAUUGAAUUGAAGCCCCGGUGAACGGCGGCAGUAACUAUAACUGUCCUAAGGUAGCGAAAUUCCUUGUCGGGUAAGUUCCGACCCGCACGAAAGGCAUCACGAUCUGGGCAGUGUCUCGACCAGGGGCUCGGUGAAACUGCGAUAGCCGUUAGGACGCGGCUAACUCAUAGCAGGACAAAAAGACCCCGUGGAGCUUUACUACAACUUGUCAUUGUGUGCGGUCUACAGCUGCGUAGCAUAGGUGGGAGCCGGAGAAGCGGACCUUGCGGGGUUCGUGGAGGCACUAGUGAAAUACCACUCUGUUGUAGAUUGCGCACUCACAUCUAAAAAGAUGGACCGUGACUGGCGGGUAGUUUGUCUGGGGCCAUAUCGUGACUGGGAAAC